AGGGUUUCACCUCUGUCACCCUAGGCUGGAUGCAGUGGCACAAUCAUGGUUUACCGCAGCAUCAAUCUUCCAGAAUCAUGUGAUCCUCCCACCUCAGCUUCCCAAGUAGCUGGAACUACAGGCGCCUGCCACCAUGCGUGGCUAAUUUUUGUAUUUUUUGUAGAGACAAGAAUUUUGCCAUGUUGCUCAGGCUGGUCUCGAAUUCUUGGGCUUAAGCCAUCCACCUGCCUUGGCCUCCCAAAGUGUUAGGAUUACAGGCGUGGGCCAUCGCGCCUGGCCUAAAUUGUCUUUUUUCAAUAGUCUCCUGAUUAUGAGGUUGUGUUUUGUCUGACCAAUGUCAAGUACAGAGCCUGGCACCAUGUAGACAUCUACUAAGUAUUAUCUGCUAUUUUUUUUUUAUCUUGAAUGAAUAAUGGGGAAGUUUCAGACUAAAGAAAGAAACAUAAUAAAAAAUCAGCCUGUACCAGUGGAGUAGUUCAAACUUUUUAGCUUUAAACUAGAUAAUGCAGUGCCUUUCUACUACAUAAAAUGCUCAACAAAAACCCAUUAAGAAGGAAGUCAUAGUAUGAAUCUACAAUCAUUGACUCCAAAAAUCAUCUUCAAACCUGGGGUCAUUCAGAGGAGUAUGAUAGGACAAUGAAUUGGAAGAGACAAUGAAGAAAGCUAGAGUCUGGAUAGAAGACUCAGGGCUGCUGAUCAGUGGAUUGGCAUUGGAGAUGUCAUAAACUUGGGGUGGGCAGGAUUUGGCAAUUGAAAUAAUGUAGUGGUAGAGACAGGAAAGGAUUGGAUACAGAGUAUCCAGGUAGAAGGAUUGGAUUCCUCUCCAUUUAUGAUUUUAGACUUGAUCAAUAUGACAAAGAAUAUACUGUUAAAUUUUGUAAAUCUAAUGCCCUCGCUAUUGUAAUGUACUGCUUAAAGGAUCAUCCCUUUUUUGGACAUGGAACCAUCAGGUUGAGCGAGAAAUUCCUUACAGAAUUGUUUUCUUGGGACACAGCUUUAGCAUAAUAACACAUAGUUUAUUUUUAAUGCACUUCUAUUUAAUUCAUAUGGAAUUCAGUCAAAAAAUAGCUCCAAAGAUAGAUAGCAUGGGAUUUUAUAUGGUGGAAGUAUCUUGGAAGUCACCCAAGAGGCUUUAUUAAUAAAUGGUAGAGAAAGUUUUCAUUUUAAAUACAAGUCCAAAAAGACAGCAGUCAAGCAAGCAUUAUGAUUAAUCAGGAUAAAUGCUGAAUGUUAUAAAUGUUGACAGAAAGGUUUUAUUUUUUUAAAAAAAAAGUAAAAAAAGUUUUAUUUUUCCUUCUUUUUAGUUUAAUUAAGAAAAAGAAAAUUGAAUCAGGGCUAAUAGAAUGAUCCCCUAUUCUGGAUGGUGCACUUAUCUUGUAGAACAUUCAUUUAAAAAACCAAUCAACCAGACAAAAGUAUUGUACAAUCUAGGCUACUUACUAACUGCAAAGAAAUACUUAUUUCUAUCUCCCCAAGGAAAGACAUCAGGAACUUCUCUGGAAUGCUAUAUGAGGACUGAAAGCUGUCUCUGAGUUACAGCUGGUUUCAUCAACUUGAGACAUAGAGUUGACAUUUAUCAAAAGCUUUCUGGCUUCCAACAUGAAAAUUUCUAGAUAAUGUUCAGCCUAGAAAGUGGAAGAUUAAACUUCAAUGUUUCCUGUGAAAAUAAACCUUCAUUAAAAAAAUAAUUACCAAACACCUACUGUGCCAGGCUCUGCAGUAAGCAUCAGAGACACAGCACCCAGCAGAGAAGGAGCCCUAUGAGGUCUCUGUCAUCCUGGAACUUAGUCCUGACCUCCAACAUAAAGCCAGUCCUUUCAUUUAAAGAUGGAAUUGGUUGGAACACAAAGGAAACACCAGUACAAUUCAUAACUACGGAAACCUCCACAGAGCAAUGGAACACAGCUACAUUCCUGCACCUGGAAUGUCUGGUUUCAUGAGCAUCCAGAAGGAAGCGGGUGUGAAACUGAUCACCAACAUGUACAUUCUAAUUAAAUUCAGUCACAUUGCUAAAGCUGAGGACUCACAGAAUGGUUAUAAUGUACUUAUUUAAAAAAUAAAAUUUUAUUCUAAAAUAAUUCAAAUGAGAAGGAAACCAGGCAUAUGACUGUAAGUUAGUACUUAGCAAUCUAAUGAGUGAAGAGUUCUUAAAUAUAACAAUAGUCAAAACAGAAACAAUGAAAAACUUAGACUUUUUUGUUCAUAUUUGUCAAUUAAAACUGAUCAUAAACCAUUUUAAUCUUCUAACCAGUGUCUGUUAUAAUUUUGUCCAUUUUUUCAAUGGCAAAGAUUCCUAUUUAGAGUUCCUUCUUAUUCAAGGGGAUUGCUAGCUUUGUUUUCAAACUGAAAAUAACUUUAUUGUUUUGUGAUUAUAAAAAUGGGUAAAAGUAACAAAUGUUCAUAUAGUGUUUUAGCAAUACAUAAGUUCUGCAAUACUUAAAAGUGUGAAGAACAUGAAAUACAAGUAUAGCCAUCACUCAGUAUCCAUGGGGAAUUGGUUCCAGAAUCUUCCUUGGAUACCAAAAUUUGUAGAUGCUCAAGUCCCUCAUAUAACAUGGUGUAGUAUUUGCAUAUGACUUCCUGUAUACUUUAAAUCGGCUCUAGAUUACAUAUAAUACCCACUACGAUAUACCCACUACAAUACAGAUGCUAUCUAAAUAGUUGUUAUUUUGUAUUCUUUAGGGAAUAAUGACAAGAAAAAAAAUGGUCUGUAUAAGGUUCAGUACAGAUGUAAUUUUUUCCCCUUAAUUAUUUUCAAUCCAUGGUUGGUUGAAUCCAUGGAUAUGGAACCCAUGGAUACAGAGGGCUGAUUGUACUAACAAUUCUACUAGCCUUAAUAACAGCAUUAUUUGUUGAAUAUUCACUGUGCUGGAUAUUGCAGUAAAUGAUUUACAUGUACUAUUUCAUUUAUGCCUCACAAUUAAUGAGAGAAGUACUAUUAUGACCCCCCUUUGGUGGGAAAACUAUAGUUUAGAGAUGUAACUUUUGCACGAGGCUGUGUAACUGGUUGUUUCAGGGAUUCUUAACCAGGGGUCCCUGUAUAGAAUUCGUGGGGUCUGUGAGCCUGGA
rnacentral:lncRNA from 1 species